UUCUCGCUUUAGUGUCAUUAGAGCUAUAUCAGUCUAACAGAAUGUGGGAUUUGCAUCUGAAUUAGAGGUUGAGUGUGCGGUGACAAUCAUUUCUGGAAGUUUGUGACCAGAAUAUCAUAGAGGACUUGCAAGAUAUUUAUCAUAUAGCCAUGAGACAUGCAUUGUAGCUGCAUAUUGAUAAUGAAAUAUAUCUACUGCUGGCAACUUGAUGCUGAUUUUCUCUUGAAUUGCCUGUAUGCAUGCAUGCAUUCAUGAGAUAAUUUCUGAUUCUUAUCCUCAUAUUGUUUUCUCCAAACAAGUAACAAGACCUAUUUGCUUUUCUUAUAUAAGGCGAAACUUGCUUUGGACAGCCUUGAAGUUCCAGCUGGGCAACAAGACAUGCAGAGGUGGAAGCUCUUGAUGUUCUUAUUGAAUAGUGGGGAAGGACUGGAUUAUUGGCUGCAGAAGUUGCAGAGAAGUUUUCAACAUGCUCCCUUUAUGUGACAUAUAAACCGUGCAUAAUGAAAAUAAAUGGAGAUAGAACCUGUCUCUGGUUUCAAGCUGAUGAGCUAGUCUUGUCUCUUGCAGUAAUGGGAAUUCUGGAUCAAAGGGUUUCAAAUGUUGUGGAGGUAUAAUGGCAUCAGAAGCAAAUUCUCCUAUGCGAGAUUUUUAUGAAUGAGGAAAACUCGAUGAUAAAUGAAGCGCCCAGUGGAAUGUCAUGUAAUGACAGAGGGUUAAUAAAAUUGCAAGCAUCCAUCAAGGAUGAGGUGUUUAUCUUGAGAUGCUCCAAAGCCUCACAGGUCACGGGUAAAUCAUGCUUCUCAUUAAAUCUUCCUGCAUUGAUUCGUCUUGUUGAACACUCUCAUGCCUUUGCACAACUAGAAUUUCAUCAAGGGAUCUGAGGAAUGAAGCGCGAUGCAUGUCCAUAUCAGUUUUUGCCGGGAUGUUGAUGUGUGCACAGAGGGUUGCAGAUGUGAUCACCAGCGAUUUCAUGCUUUAACUUGAUUAUCAGAUUGUUUAGAUAAUUUUACAGCAUAAACCUGUACAUUUAUCAAUUUUCUGAGGUUAAUUUUUGUCAUCUACAUACUUUUUGAUGUAGUUUGAUAUGAGUUUUUUUUAACUUUGAGGUAAUUUCAGGCGUGCUAUUGAUGAUUCUGAGCUUUAUAGUUAUGGACUGUCAUGUGUGAUCCCUAACAAUGAUGAAAGAUGUGAAGGACUUGCAUGUGUUUCACA